UGGUCGUGAUUUACACAGGAGCCAAAAAGGGUUUUUAUCAAAACCCUAAAUCACAAGAAAUUCAGCCAAAUCAAGGGAAAUCAAGCUAGGAAAUUGGGGCUUUUAAUAAAUUAGUGAUCACCAAACCUAGGGGAUUACAAGUGUUAUGAUUUUGACGCCUAACAAGCUAGGUGGAAGCUUGUGGAUGAAGCGGGUCAAACGGAGCGCGUACGGAAAGAAAGGCGUGGCAUGGAUGCAAGGUAAGUAUAGCUUACACUAG
rnacentral:lncRNA from 1 species